UACGAAGGGGGCUAGCGUUGUUCGGAUUUACUGGGCGUAAAGCGCACGUAGGCGGAUCGAUCAGUCAGGGGUGAAAUCCCAGAGCUCAACUCUGGAACUGCCUUUGAUACUGUCGAUCUGGAGUAUGGAAGAGGUGAGUGGAAUUCCGAGUGUAGAGGUGAAAUUCGUAGAUAUUCGGAGGAACACCAGUGGCGAAGGCGGCUCACUGGUCCAUUACUGACGCUGAGGUGACGAAAGCGUGGGGAGCAAACAGG
rnacentral:rRNA from 1 species